GCCCGAUUAGCUUGUUGGUGAGGUAACGGCUCACCAAGGCUAUGAUCGGUAGCCGGUCUGAGAGGAUGGCCGGCCACACUGGAACUGAGACAAGGUCCAGACUCCUACGGGAGGCAGCAGUGGGGAAUCUUGCGCAAUGGGCGAAAGCCUGACGCAGCAACGCCGCGUGGGGGAUGAAGCCUUUCGGAGUGUAAACCCCUUUCGACCCGGAUGAAUCCCCGCAAGGGAUUGACAGUACGGGUAUAAGAAGCCCCGGCUAACUACGUGCCAGCAGCCGCGGUAAAACGUAGGGGGCCAGCGUUGCUCGGAAUUACUGGGCGUAAAGGGUCUGUAGGCGGUGCGGCAAGUCGGAAGUGAAAUCUCAGGGCUUAACCCUGAGGCUGCUCCCGAAACUGCUGUGCUCGAGUGCGAGAGAGGCGAGUGGAAUUGCAGGUGUAGCGGUGAAAUGCGUAGAUAUCUGCAGGAACAUCCGAGGCGAAAGCGGCUCGCUGGAUCGCAACUGACGCUGAGAGACGAAAGCUAGGGGAGCA
rnacentral:rRNA from 1 species